UCUUGGUCAUUUAGAGGAAGUAAAAGUCGUAACAAGGUUUCCGUAGGUGAACCUGCGGAAGGAUCAUUACUGAAAAAAACUAUUUUCAAGUUUUUUUUUAUAUCCCAUUGUUUAUUUACCCUGUUGCUUCCACUGGACAGAUUUUCACCUUUGUGUGGGAUCUUUUGGCUUGUGUGAAUAAUACUUGCCAGAAAGUUGCCAGUGGCAGGACCCAUUUUUACCAAAACUUGAUUAAAAUCACAAAACUGUCUGAAUAUUUUUCUGUAAUGAAAAUAAAACUUUCAACAACGGAUCUCUAGGCUCUUGCAUCGAUGAAGAACGCAGUGAAAUGCGAUAAGUAAUGUGAAUUGCAGAAUCUCGUGAAUCAUCGAAUCUUUGAACGCACAUUGCGCCCUAUGGUAUUCCGUAGGGCAUGCCUGUCUGAGCGUCAGCUACCCCCUCACUCAAGUAUUUUCUUUAUGUUAUACUUGGAUUGCUUUGGAGAGGUAACUACUUCGUAGUUACCCUUCAGAAAUUCAUAGGCGGUAUGGUUUGUACUUGAACCAGACGUAAUAAUAAUAAAAUCGUUUGUUUAGGUAAUAAUUGUACUUGCCCUUAUCUCACCCAUUUUAACUCUGGGUGACCUCAGAUCAGGUAGGGAUACCCGCUGAACUUAAGC
rnacentral:rRNA from 1 species